UGGAGUGUGUCACCUGCCCUCACACCAUGUUAAGAAACACAAGGACACCUGCCAUGUGGGGAGACCAACAUACCUGAGAAUUCUACACUAAAUGGGUCAUGAGAGCUCCUCCCUCAUAAAGUUGGGUCAGGAUUAAAGGAGAUUAUUUAUUAGGCAAAUUCAAGACAGAAGGUGAUUUUCAAGGUGAUUUUGGCCUGCAAGAAAAAGUCUCAGGAAUAAGAGAAGACAUUGGAUGAUCCUUUGUUGGAAUUUUGUGUGUAUUAGAUUCUUUUGUCUGGGAUAACUUAUAAGAGAGCCUCUGAGAGAGAUUAUGUAGCUGGAAAACAAGACCAAGUGUGGAAGAGAUAUUUUUCAUCUCUACAAGAAAGUGGCAUGGUUGGAACAGUCUGCACACCGUUGCAGGUAACCCAAGGCACAAAUUCUCUUCCUU